rnacentral:rRNA from 1 species
UACGGAGGGUGCAAGCGUUAUCCGGAUUCACUGGGUUUAAAGGGUGCGUAGGUGGGUUGAUAAGUCAGUGGUGAAAUCUCCGGGCUUAACUCGGAAAGGUCAACCGAUACUGCGGGGCUAGAGUGCAGAAGGGGCAACUGGAAUUCUCGGUGUAGCGGUGAAAUGCGUAGAUAUCGAGAGGAACACCUGCGGCGAAGGCGGGUUGCUGGGCUGACACUGACGCUGAUGUGCGAAAGCUAGGGGAGCGAACGGG